rnacentral:tRNA from 1 species
GGAAGCUUGGCAGAGUGGUCGAUUGCACCGGUCUUGAAAACCGGCAGCCCGCAAGGGCUCCAGGGUUCGAAUCCCUGAGCUUCCGCCA